GAUGAACGCUGGCGGCGUGCUUAACACAUGCAAGUCGAACGGAAAGGCCCUGCUUGCAGGGUCCUCGAGUGGCGAACGGGUGAGUAACACGUGGGUGAUCUGCCCUGUACUUUGGGAUAAGCCUGGGAAACUGGGUCUAAUACCGAAUAUGACAAUUGUUUGGAUGCGAUUGUGGAAAGCUUUUGCGGUAUGGGAUGAGCUCGCGGCCUAUCAGCUUGUUGGUGGGGUAAUGGCCUACCAAGGCGUCGACGGGUAGCCGGCCUGAGAGGGUGUACGGCCACAUUGGGACUGAGAGACGGGCCAGACUCCUACGGGAGGCAGCAGUGGGGAAUAUUGCACAAUGGGCGCCAGCCUGAUGCAGCGACGCCGCGUGGGGGAUGACGGCCUUCGGGUUGUAAACUCCUUUCGCAACCGACGAAGCCUUUUGGUGACGGUAGGUUGAGAAGAAGCACCGGCUAACUACGUG
rnacentral:rRNA from 1 species